rfam:Macaca mulatta chromosome 13, whole genome shotgun sequence.
UAUACUUAUGUGGAACUACAUAAUUUUAAGUACAAUGUAAAUAUUGACUAAUAAUAUUAAUAUAUCAAUAAUUCUAUGUACUUUGUGCAUUACUGCUAGCCACCAUGAAUAUUAUAUA